UUUGCAAGAUAAUGUAAAUUAAUUAUUAACUGACCUUGUCACAGAGAUGCUGGAGGAAGUUUUGGAAAAAUGGAAGCAGCUCGUGAAGAGGAGUACUUCAGAAAACUUCAAUAUAAGCAGAUCAGUCAACUGAAGUCGCAUCUGCACGAGGAAAUAGAACAUCACAAAAAAACUUAUCAAACAACAUGAAAAAGAAGUAGAAAGGCAUAAGGAACGAAUUGAGGAUCUGAAAAAACAGGAAAAAGAAAGUCAAGAAAGAGAUUAAGUAAUAGAAGAUAGGUUAACAGAUUGAAAAUUUUAGGGAACAAGAUAUUUACUUGAGUUAAAAUGUAGUAUUCUUUUAAGGUAUUUUGGUUUCAGAAAGUAGAGAAUUCCUGUUAAUAAUCUGUACAACAAAUAAAUGAAUCUUCUGUUAACCUAAGAAGUGAAACAAGUCUUUGUAAAAAAAAUUGUUAGAAUAGUUUCAUGUCAGUUUUGCAGAUGAGUGCAAUACUGUAUGGGAAUGUUGAAUAUGCAGUACAGUUUUCAAUAAAGAAAUUCAUUCUUGUGA